GUGGUGACGACGCAGUCUUAACAUUGGAGUGAGCCAAUCUAAUCCAAGCAAAUGACGGUAAGAUGAUUUCGAUGAUGUCAAAACCGUUGGAGAGAUGGAUGCCUCAUCUACCCCUGGUUGGCUCACAAUACAUAUGAUUAUUCUGUUUGAUAUUUUUUCCUCCUCUUCAAUCAUUGUUGGUCUUCAGCUGUAUGAGGGAUUAAAUCCUGAAAAGUAGCGAAUAGUAUUGCCGAUCAGGCCAGGACCAUGUAAAAGUGUAACAUUCCUUCUCCGAGAACAAAUGGAGUUAAUUCUGCCACAAAAGAAAAGAAUGAACUGAUGAACUCGUUCACACUACCCCUCGCUCUUCAACUGUUGGAGAAAACUUCCUUCUAUCGCUGCUCGCAACACAGCAGAACUUGGUUUAAUUCUGUGCGCUAAAAUUUUGCAAACGAGGCCUAAA